AGUGAACGCUGGCGGUAGGCCUAACACAUGCAAGUCGAACGGCAGCACAAUAAGAGCUUGCUCUUACGGGUGGCGAGUGGCGGACGGGUGAGGAAUAAAUCGGAAUCUACUUUUUCGUGGGGGAUAACGUAGGGAAACUUACGCUAAUACCGCAUACGACCUACGGGUGAAAGCAGGGGAUCUUCGGACCUUGCGCGAUUGAAUGAGCCGAUGUCGGAUUAGCUAGUUGGCGGGGUAAAGGCCCACCAAGGCGACGAUCCGUAGCUGGUCUGAGAGGAUGAUCAGCCACACUGGAACUGGGACACGGUCCAGACUCCUACGGGAGGCAGCAGUGGGGAAUAUUGGACAAUGGGCGCAAGCCUGAUCCAGCCAUACCGCGUGGGUGAAGAAGGCCUUCGGGUUGUAAAGCCCUUUUGUUGGGAAAGAAAAGCAGCAGGUUAAUACCCCGCUGUUCUGACGGUACCCAAAGAAUAGGCACCGGCUAACUUCGUG
rnacentral:rRNA from 1 species